UAUAUUUAAAAUAAAAUUAUAGGAAUCAGAAUCUGCGAAUCUUUUGAGACGAUGAUUUCCCCUCCCCUCCCCCAUUCGGUCUUCAAUUCGAUUAGUCUACAAUAGUUUGCCACUGGCGUUAGAAGUUCUAAUUGCACUUCUGCAGAUAAUAUCGGAACAUCGGACGUCGGAAAAAAGCCCGUAGAAAAAAUUACAAAUAAACGCCACAAAAACGCGUGUGUAUACAGUGUGUACUAAAAAUGACUGGCCAACUCUACGGCUUGUUACUAUAUACGUAACAAACAUUGAAGUAUUGAAUGUAUUGAAGUUAACGGAGGACAACAG